GGAGGGCGCGAGCGUUAUUCGGAAUCAUUGGGCGUAAAGCGCGUGUAGGCGGCUGGGCAAGUCGGAUGUGAAAGCCCGGGGCUCAACCCCGGAAUUGCAUUCGAAACUGCUCAACUAGAGUCUCGGAGAGGAGGGCGGAAUUCCCGGUGUAGAGGUGAAAUUCGUAGAUAUCGGGAGGAACACCAGUGGCGAAGGCGGCCCUCUGGACGAUGACUGACGCUGAGACGCGAAAGCGUGGGGAGCAAACAGGGAUUAGAUACCCUGGUAGUCCACGCCGUAAACGUUGGGUGCUAGGUGUCGCGGGUAUUGACCCCCUGCGGUGCCCGUCGUUAACGCAUUUAGCACCCCCGCCUGGGGAGUACGGUCGCAAGACUA
rnacentral:rRNA from 1 species